ensembl:lncRNA
CUAAAGCCUGCUCACAUCAUGCCUGCUACUCCAGAGCUUGCUCACGUCAUGUCUGCCAAACCAAAGCCAGAUUAUGUCAUGCAGAUGCGGAGCUUGGGCCAGGACUAAAUACUGGUGGUGGCUUCUGCUGUCACGGCCAUGGAGGCCAUCCAUGAACUCAAAGUCUGUCCUUUCACGGUCAUGGAGGCCAUCAAUGAACUUUUAACUUUCCUUUAGACAUGGAGAGUAAGCUGCUGCUUUUGGUGGUUUGUGUGAUUGGUUGUGCAGUGUCGUGCAUUAAGGCUGAUGGGCACCUAACAACGCCAACAAAUUUUACUGUGAGAAUACCAUUAAAGCCUUUCCACUAUUAUUUGGUCCAAGGAACCAUUACUUCACUUUCAAACAACAUUGAACAAAAAGUCCAAAAUCACCCACAGUGAGUGUGGAAGAACCAAACUGUGUUUGGACAACCCUUAAGGAUGUGAGCCUUCAGGCAGCUCUCAGUGUUUCUUCACCUCAGUACAGAUUAUCUUAAGUAGGUCUACCUUCAAUCUGAUGGUUGAGCUCUGUGGCAACUCCAUCGGUUACAUCGCUUUAGCAGAUGGAGUGACAUCUAGUGUGGCUCAGGGAAGGUUAAGAUCAUCAUCCAGUUACUUCUUUGACCUUUUCAGACAGAAUUCUGCGAAGACAUGAGGAACAAGGAACGAGAAAGCUUCCAGAGAAAGAAGAUAUGCAAUUGUAUACUAUGUGGAAGUGUUGUCACUAUGUCACUGUCACUAUGUUUUACCAUUGCAA